rnacentral:rRNA from 1 species
GGCGAACGCUGGCGGCAGGCCUAACACAUGCAAGUCGAACGAAGUCUUCGGACUUAGUGGCGGACGGGUGAGUAACACGUGGGAACGUACCUUUUGGUUCGGAACAACUCAGGGAAACUUGAGCUAAUACCGGAUGAGCCCUUAGGGGGAAAGAUUUAUCGCCGAAAGAGCGGCCCGCGUUAGAUUAGCUAGUUGGUGAGGUAAAGGCUCACCAAGGCUACGAUCUAUAGCUGGUCUGAGAGGAUGAUCAGCCACACUGGGACUGAGACACGGCCCAGACUCCUACGGGAGGCAGCAGUGGGGAAUCUUGCGCAAUGGGCGAAAGCCUGACGCAGCCAUGCCGCGUGAAUGAUGAAGGUCUUAGGAUUGUAAAAUUCUUUUACCAGGGACGAUAAUGACGGUACCUGGAGAAAAAGCCCCGGCUAACUUCGUGCCAGCCGCCGCAGUAAAAC